rnacentral:sRNA from 1 species
GAAUAAACCUUAUUGAAGUGGAAGCCCGCAGCAUAGCGAGGAAUAUAACGGAAAGAAGGACUGGAU